ensembl:lncRNA
AAAGAGCUGCACCUUCCUGCGGAAGAUCAACUGACCUGCUAUCCCACCCCAAAUCUCAGCCUGAGGUAUAUUUCAGUGAAGGCAGGUAGCUGUGCUUCUCAAAGCAGAGAAGCAGUUUAAGAGCAGAAAGGUAGAGGAAAUCUAAAAAAGAACCGUCUUGAUACAGAUUUAUCCCAUGGUGUGAGGGAGAGGACAAGGAACCCCGUGGCACUUCGCUUAUCCAGCAAUUUCUGUCACUGUGGUGACCAACUUCUGCCCAUUCCAUAGGGUCUUAAACUGCUCAGCGACUGGGAACUCAUUGAAGUCACCGCCUUCUGUAGGAAUGACAUUCAUCUCAGAAGAUUUGGCACUGACUAUCUCACAAUCCAGGGAGUUCUUGCUCAGAUUUCGCAUGUCAGCCAUAAUGUACCACCUCAGACUUCUGUCUCACCUCCGGACCGCGAUUGGCCUCUCUCUACUUCCGGCAAGAACCGCCCAGCAACCUUUGCGCCUAUACAUACCCAUUUUUUUAAAAGGAGUAUCUUUUAAGCUAAGUGAAACCCUCACGCUGGAAUUCACCUUGGCUGACAGAUGUUUGCGCCACCAGGAAGGACCCAAGUCCGACCACAUACGGGCAACUAGCAAGAUGAUUGGCCAAAGACAACCAGGAAAACUGAUGCCAUUGCCAUAAAACCUGAGGCUGUGAGCCACAUGGCAGAGCAGUUCUCCUGGGUUCCCUUAACCUGCCCUUCUCCACCUGGGUACCCCUUUCCAAUAAAGUCUUGGGC